rnacentral:tRNA from 1 species
UAGUAUGAAGCAAAAUUUGCAUUUAGUUUCGACCUAAAAAUUUGAUAAUUUAUCCUUACUAA